rnacentral:misc_RNA from 1 species
GUUCGAUCCUGGCUCAGAUUGAACACUUUGGCGGAUCGCUACACAUACCGCUAGAAUCGAACUGGCCUUCCGGACUUCGGUCUGGUGGCGAGUGGCGAACGGGUGAAGUAAUGUAUCAGACAGUGCCUAGUAGCGGGGGAUAACUACGCGAAAGCGUAAUGCCGCAUACGCCCUUCAGGGGAAAGCGGGGACCCUUCGGGCCUCCGCACUAUUAAACGGCCGAUAUCAGGUUAGCUAGUUGGUGGGGUAACGGCUCGCAAGGCGACGAUCCGUAGCUGGUUUGGAAGGACGACCAGCCACACUGGACUAGAAUUUGGCCCCCAGACUCCUACGGAGGCAACAGUGGGAAUUUUGGACAAUGGAAACCUGAUCC